GGAAUUAAAAACUAUGAGGCAAAACCGCCCCUGAGCACGCCGUCCGUGGGCCUGGCCGCCCGGCACGGCGGCUGCGGGCGGCUGGUGAGGCUGAGGAGAUCCUCAGCCGUCACCCCGCACCGAGCCCUCAGAGCUGUCAGGAUGUCCCUGGCACAAAGGGAAAAGAAAACCAGGGAUGCCAAAAUGCAAUUUGUUUUCUUUUCGGGAUGCAGUUGUAGCCCAGCAAUAGCUCCCUCAGGUUGGCCCAAGGGACUUGCAGCUGGAAUGCCAUUGCUGCUUGAGAAAUGACACAGACGGAGAGGUUUGAACCAGCCAACUCACAUGAAUAAGUGGAGGAGAGACCCCAUUUCAUCCUGGCAGUGCUUCUGGAAACAGGGCCAAUUCAUUAGCCAGAGAUCUCUGCAUCCCUCAGCAGAACAGCCUGUUCUCCCUGCCCUGUGAUCUCCUUCUGCUCUCCCACCAUCCUCAGAGGUUGCUACUUGGAGUGGGACAGCCUUGGAAAGCUGCAGCCUCAGCGCAGCUGAUUCUUACCCCGAUUUAUUUCUAUAUAUUUGUCUUUGCA